rnacentral:rRNA from 1 species
UACGUAGGUGGCAAGCGUUAUCCGGAAUUAUUGGGCGUAAAGCGCGCGCAGGCGGUCUCUUAAGUCUGAUGUGAAAUCUCGCGGCUCAACCGCGAGCGGCCAUUGGAAACUGGGAGACUUGAGUGCAGAAGAGAAGAGCGGAAUUCCACGUGUAGCGGUGAAAUGCGUAGAGAUGUGGAGGAACACCAGUGGCGAAGGCGGCUCUUUGGUCUGUAACUGACGCUGAGGCGCGAAAGCGUGGGGAGCAAAC